rnacentral:rRNA from 1 species
AUGGCGGAGGAGCACAACAGCGCGGGCGCCGGCUUCUGGCUGCCGGACGAGUUCCUCGACGACGACUUCUUCUCCGACGAGAAGGCGGCGGCCGCCGCGGCGGCGGCGUCGGCGGCCAGGAGCGACAGCGACGAGGAGGACGGGCUCGGCGGGCUCUCGCGCCGCGUGGCCGGCCUCGACUGCGACGCCGGCGACCGCGCCAUUCCCAAGGCGGAGGUGAUGUCUGGGUCUCCGCAGUCCACGCUCUGCGUGCUGCAGGCCUCGGGGGAGGACAGCCCCACCGGCGGCGCCUCGCAGGUCAGCUCGCCGCCGUCCUCGCCGCUGGAGCAGCAGCCGGCCGACCCAUGGGACCUGCUGCACGAGGCGGCCGGCCAGGUGGCCCGCCUGGGCGUGGACAGCGUCCCCGUGCCUGUCAACACUCCCCCCAUCCAUGGCACCGGCGUCGCGCCGCCGGCGAGGAAGACCUCUCCGCCGCUGCUUCCGUCCCCAAAGCCCGUCGGCCCUUACCAGUACCCGCCGAACAACUCGCUCGCCCAGCGCCAGGCCCAAGUCGCUCGUUUUCAUCUCCUGAAGCAGCAGCAGCUGAUGAAGCACCAGCGGGAGCAGCAGCUGGCCAUGGCGGCGGCCAUGGCGUGGGGCUCCACCGACGUCGGGCCGCUCGGGCUGAGCCCCUCGGCCUGGCCGCCGCUGCAGAAGUCCCCGCACCACGCCCCACCCUCCGCGGCCGGCAUGCGCGCCGUGUUCCUCACCCCACCCGGGGCCAAGCGCGAGUGCACCGGCACCGGCGUGUUCAUCCCCCGGCAGGCCGGCGCGCCCGCCGAGCCCAAGAAGAAACCAAGCUGCUCCACGGUUCUCCUCCCGGCGCGCGUCGUGCAGGCGCUCAAUCUCAACGUCGAGGACCUCGGCGCCCGCCCUUGCUACCCCGGAGCCUUCGUUCUUGAUCACGACGCGCUGGUCAGCCGGAGCAACGCGAUGCAGGCGAGCCAGAAGCGCGAGCACAACGCCAAUGCCACCGCCGCCGCGCACUCCCCGCCGCUCGCCGUGGCCUGCGAGGUCAAUCUCCCGCAGGAGUGGACGUACUGA